rnacentral:rRNA from 1 species
AUUGAACGCUGGCGGCAGGCCUAACACAUGCAAGUCGAGCGAGCGGCGGACGGGUGAGUAAUGUCUGGGAAACUGCCUGAUGGAGGGGGAUAACUACUGGAAACGGUAGCUAAUACCGCAUACCAUCAGAUGUGCCCAGAUGGGAUUAGCUAGUAGGUGGGGUAAUGGCUCACCUAGGCGGCGAUCCCUAGCUGGUCUGAGAGGAUGACAAGCCACCUUGGAACUGAGACACGGUCCAGACUCCUCCGGGAGGCAGCGUGGGGGAAUAUUGCACAAGGGGCGCAAGCCGGAGGCAGCCAUGCCGCGUGUGUGAAGAAGGCCUUCGGGUUGUAAAGCACUUUCAGCGAGGAGGCGUUACUCGCAGAAGAAGCACCGGCUAACGCCGUGCCAGCAGCCGCGGUAAUAC